UACAGAGGUCUCAAGCGUUGUUCGGAUUCAUUGGGCGUAAAGGGCGUGUAGGCGGUCAAGUAAGUGGAAUGUGAAAUCCCCCGGCUUACCCGGGGACCGGCAUCCCAUACUGCUUGGCUUGAGUACGGGAGAGGAUGUGGGAAUUCCUGGUGUAGCGGUGAAAUGCGUAGAUAUCAGGAGGAACACCGGUGGCGAAGGCGCACAUCUGGCCCGAUACUGACGCUGAAGCGCGAAAGCUAGGGGAGCAAACGGG
rnacentral:rRNA from 1 species